rnacentral:rRNA from 1 species
AACGAACGCUGGCGGUAGGCUUAACACAUGCAAGUCGAGCGCCCCGCAAGGGGCGCGGCAGACGGGUGAGUAACGCGUGGGAAUCUACCCAUCUCUACGGAAUAACGCAUGGAAACGUGUGCUAAUACCGUAUGCGUCCUUCGGGAGAAAGAUUUAUCGGAGAUGGAUGAGCCGGCGGUGGAUUAGCUAGUUGGUGGGGUAAAGGCCUACAAAGGCGACGAUCCAUAGCUGGGCUGAGGGGAUGAUCAGGCACACUGGGACUGGGACACGGCCCAGAUUCCUACGGGAGGCAGCAGUGGGGAAUAUGGGACAAUGGGCGCAAGCCUGAUCCAGCCAUGCCGCGUGAGUGAUGAAGGCCCUAGGGUUGUAAAGCUCUUUAACCGGUGAAGAUAAUGACGGUAACCGGAGAAGAAGCCCCGGCUAACUCGUGCCAGCCGCCGCGGUAAAAC